CCUACGGGUGGCAGCAGUGGGGAAUAUUGCACAAUGGGGGAAACCCUGAUGCAGCGACGCCGCGUGAGCGAAGAAGUAUCUCGGUAUGUUAAGCCCUAUCAGCAGGGAAGAAAAUGACGGUACCUGAGUAAGAAGCUCCGGCUAAAUACGUGCCAGCAGCCGCGGUAACACGUAUGGAGCCAGCGUUAUCCGGAUUUACUGGGCGUAAAGGGGGCGUAGGCGGGAGGCCAAGUCUGAUGUGAAAUACCGGGGCUCAACCCCGGUGCUGCAUUGGAAACUGGCGGGCUGGAGUGCCGGAGAGGCAGGCGGAAUGCGUGGUGUAGCGGUGAAAUGCGUAGAUAUUAGGAGGAACACCGGUGGCGAAGGCAGCCUGCUGGACGGUGACUGACGCUGAGGCUCGAAAGCGUGGGGAGCGAACAGGAUUAGAUACCCGAGUAGUC
rnacentral:rRNA from 1 species